GCCCUGCUAGCUCAGUGGUAGAGCGUCGCACUCGUACAACGUUCGAUGCGAAGGUCAGUCGUUCAAGUCGGCUGUGGGGCA
rfam:Schizophyllum commune H4-8 unplaced genomic scaffold SCHCOscaffold_1, whole genome shotgun sequence.